GUGCUUGCUUUGGGAGCAUGUAUACUACAAUUGACAUGAUAUAGAGAAGAAUAGCAUGGCCCCUACACAAGGAUGCCAUGCAAAUCUAUGAAGCAUUCCAUAUUUUU